rnacentral:rRNA from 1 species
GGGUUGUGAGGUUAAGCGACUAAGCGUACACGGUGGAUGCCCUGGCAGUCAGAGGCGAUGAAGGACGUGCUAAUCUGCGAUAAGCGUCGGUGAGGUGAUAUGAACCGUUAUAACCGGCGAUUUCCGAAUGGGGAAACCCAGUGUGUUUCGACACACUAUCAUUAACUGAAUCCAUAGGUUAAUGAGGCGAACCGGGGGAACUGAAACAUCUAAGUACCCCGAGGAAAAGAAAUCAACCGAGAUUCCCCCAGUAGCGGCGAGCGAACGGGGAGGAGCCCAGAGCCUGAAUCAGUGUGUGUGUUAGUGGAAGCGUCUGGAAAGGCGCGCGAUACAGGGUGACAGCCCCGUACACAAAAAUGCACAUAUUGUGAGCUCGAUGAGUAGGGCGGGACACGUGGUAUCCUGUCUGAAUAUGGGGGGACCAUCCUCCAAGGCUAAAUACUCCUGACUGACCGAUAGUGAACCAGUACCGUGAGGGAAAGGCGAAAAGAACCCCGGCGAGGGGAGUGAAAAAGAACCUGAAACCGUGUACGUACAAGCAGUGGGAGCCUCUUAAUGGGGUGACUGCGUACCUUUUGUAUAAUGGGUCAGCGACUUAUAUUCUGUAGCAAGGUUAACCGAAUAGGGGAGCCGAAGGGAAACCGAGUCUUAACUGGGCGUUAAGUUGCAGGGUAUAGACCCGAAACCCGGUGAUCUAGCCAUGGGCAGGUUGAAGGUUGGGUAACACUAACUGGAGGACCGAACCGACUAAUGUUGAAAAAUUAGCGGAUGACUUGUGGCUGGGGGUGAAAGGCCAAUCAAACCGGGAGAUAGCUGGUUCUCCCCGAAAGCUAUUUAGGUAGCGCCUCGUGAAUUCAUCUCCGGGGGUAGAGCACUGUUUCGGCAAGGGGGUCAUCCCGACUUACCAACCCGAUGCAAACUGCGAAUACCGGAGAAUGUUAUCACGGGAGACACACGGCGGGUGCUAACGUCCGUCGUGAAGAGGGAAACAACCCAGACCGCCAGCUAAGGUCCCAAAGUCAUGGUUAAGUGGGAAACGAUGUGGGAAGGCCCAGACAGCCAGGAUGUUGGCUUAGAAGCAGCCAUCAUUUAAAGAAAGCGUAAUAGCUCACUGGUCGAG